UACGAAGGGGACUAGCGUUGUUCGGAAUCACUGGGCGUAAAGCGCACGUAGGCGGAUUUGUAAGUCAGGGGUGAAAUCCCGGGGCUCAACCUCGGAACUGCCUUUGAUACUGCGAAUCUUGAGUCCGAUAGAGGUGGGUGGAAUUCCUAGUGUAGGGGUGAAAUUCGUAGAUAUUAGGAAGAACACCGGUGGCGAAGGCGGCCCACUGGAUCGGUACUGACGCUGAGGUGCGAAAGCGUGGGGAGCAAACAGG
rnacentral:rRNA from 1 species